GUAGGUGGCAAGCGUUGUCCGGAAUUACUGGGCGUAAAGCGCGCGCAGGCGGUUCUUUAAGUCUGAUGUGAAAGCCCACGGCUCAACCGUGGAGGGUCAUUGGAAACUGGAGAACUUGAGUACAGAAGAGGAAAGCGGAAUUCCACGUGUAGCGGUGAAAUGCGUAGAGAUGUGGAGGAACACCAGUGGCGAAGGCGGCUUUCUGGUCUGUAACUGACGCUGAGGCGCGAAAGCGUGGGGAGCAAACAGGAUUAGAUACCCUGGUAGUCCACGCCGUAAACGAUGAGUGCUAAGUGUUAGGGGGGUUUCCGCCCCCCUUAGUGCUGCGGCUAACGCAUUAAGCACUCCGCCUGGGGAUACGGCCGCAAGGCUG
rnacentral:rRNA from 1 species